rnacentral:lncRNA from 1 species
CUCUCCAUCCUCUAGAUUUUCUUCCCUUAUUAAUUCUUUCAGGCAUAUCAAACCAUUUUUUUCCUCUGUGUAACUUACCUUUCUCACCCAAGACUAAAUUCAACACACACCAAACCCAGGUACUCUUCACUCUGCCCCCUACCCUGUGACUUUUGAGAGCCUUCUCGCUGUCAUUUUGUUCAUCUCUUACCCUACUCUUCCAGGAGUUGAACUCAGAGUUUGGUUCAUUCUUGCUAUCUAUUCUGUUCUCAUUUCAAUCUAAUUUUUGUUUCUGUACUCCUAAAGAAACAGUGCCUUGAUUUGUACCCCUGAGUCUCCUAUUUUUCUUCUCUCAGCUGAAGAAGUCCACCUGUUGCUAGGUCUCCUUUCUUAUCUAUUGUUUAUAGUGCUUGUUCUUGCUGCUAGGAUACCCAGGAGGUUGUGACAUCAUAGCCUGUCAUCUUCCUCUGUCCAGUUAAUGGAGCUGAAUUGAGUAGAACAGGUUCCCACAUAACAGUCUUCUUCCUCAAUUUAUCCUUAUAACAGUCAGGGAAAUCAGAGGCUGUCUGGCUCAGCAUUGCUCAGUGACAUUGAUGGUUCAGUGGGGCCUAGAUCCCUACUCUCACAGGUCCCACUCCAAUAUUUCUAUCUUUGCACCACCCUGAAGAUCAUCCUAACUGCAGUUUAAGAUAUCUGGAGGCCCUCCAGGGAGGGAGGGCUACCUAAGAGAACAGCAAAACCUGUGAUUGAUAUGUGAUUGCAGAGAGAAUGUUUUGUACUUAAUGUGUGCAAGCUGGGUCCAAGGACCAGACCUGAGCCAAACAAAGAGCAAAGACACCUGUUUUCCAUUUCAGCCACACAGGAGAUUGGGCCUUAAGGAUUCUACUUCAGGCAGAAAAAUCUCUGAGGCUAACACUGACCAUUCCAAGUGGAUCAAGCGGCACUCACAAGAACAGGAGUCAACAAUGAAAGGUUUUCAACAGGUCCUGGCCAAAUAAAAUGUUAUAAAGUGAGAGUAAA